rnacentral:rRNA from 1 species
ACGGAGGGUGCAAGCGUUAUCCGGAUUCACUGGGUUUAAAGGGUGCGUAGGUGGGUAGGUAAGUCAGUGGUGAAAUCUCUAAGCUUAACUUAGAAACUGCCGUUGAUACUAUUUAUCUUGAAUAUAGUGGAGGUGAGCGGAAUAUGUCAUGUAGCGGUGAAAUGCUUAGAUAUGACAUAGAACAUCGAUUGCGAAGGCAGCUCGCUACACGAAUAUUGACUCUGAGGCACGAAAGCGUGGGGAUCAAACAGGA